ensembl:misc_RNA Metazoa_SRP Metazoan signal recognition particle RNA
GCUGGGUGUAGUGGUGCCUGCCUGUAGUCCUCGCUACUCAGGAAACUGAGGCAGGAGGAUUGCUUGAGCCCAGGAGUUCUGGGCUGUAAUGUGCGUGCUGAUUGGGUAUUGGCAUCAAUCUGGUGACCUCCCGGGAGUGGGGGACCACCAGGUUGCCAAAGGAGGGGUGAACUGGCCCAGGUGGGAAACGGAGCAAGUCAAAACUCCCAUGCUGAUCAGAAAGCAGGAUACAGGUUUUAUUCUGAGGCUUAACCCUCCAACAAAAAACGUUACUCU